GUGUCCGAGGCGGGCGGUGUAUGCGCACAUGUUCCGUUUUCUGAUAUUGCACCACAUCUUGGAACAUUUAAGACGCCCCUUUGAAGUCGACUUCAACUCGUACUCGUAGUAUACUUACGUUCGUCCUUCGUCGACGGUCGAUCGUCGAUCACACGAUCAGUCUUUCGAGCUCUUCGGUGGUGUAAGCAUCUCGUCCUCGUGUGAGUCGCGUGUUCUCCUGUAUAUGUUGUAGAAUUUUCCCAUUUUCGCGUUUCGUGUUGCAAUUUUUUUCAACAAAGACUCUUGUUUUCGUCUUCGGUAUUUUCAUUUUUUCGUUUUCUUGUUAAAAGGUUUUCUUUCGCGAUGUGAAGAUUUUCGAAAAUCGAAACAUUCGCGUUCGUUUGUAUAUUUUUUAACAUAUUGUGAUCGAUGUAGCUUUUCGUUAAUUUAAUUUCAUUUUUCGUUUCGUUUUUAAAGGUUGUGUCGCGAUGUGCGAAUUUUCAUCGAUCGAAUCAACUCGCCGAGAUUUUGAAUGCUGCUUGCAACCCAUUGCUUGCUUGGUUCCUGGUGGUUUGUCAAAGUUAUACGAACGGAGUUUAGUGCUGAUCGUGUUGAUUUAUCAUCCUGCUUCCUUCAUCAAAUUGCAUCUUGGCGACGAUUCCAGAUCCUGCUCGUCUUCUGAACUGAUUUUCAAAACGAAAAGAAGAGAAAACUCAAAGUAUACCAAUUUUGAAUCAAGAAAAGACUUUGCCGAUUUUUCGAUGUCGCCAUCGUUACCAAGACUGGGUGAUCGAAUUCGUAGUCUACUUUGAGGUAAAAAAUACUUUUUAUUAUUAUUUAAAAAGGUAUACAUAGGCUAUAUCUAUAUAAUAGGAGUAUUUCCAUAUCUAUCUGUUUAAUAUAUAGCUAAAUAUAGGGAGAUAAAGACUACCUCGUAUAAAAUAUGAUUAAGAAAUCAGCAUAACGUGGAAAGAAAAAAAAAAUUAGUAAAAAUACUGGUAUCGGUACCGGAAUGUCGCGUUACUCGUAAUACAAAACUGAUACGUCGUAAAAAGGAAUUUUAAAAUAGCAUUGAAAACGAAAAAAAAAAAAAAAAUAUGUACAGAAAUCGGCGAAACGCAAUGGUCUCGUCUCUGCCCGUUUGGUGGGAAAACGAAAAAAUAUCUAAAAAAAAAUACUACAACGGUAACGGGGGCGUUCGCGCCGACUAAGGAUUCAUUCGAUUGUUAGUUGGCGCAACCUUUGGACGAUUCCGGUUGUAACAGUGGACCGUUGAAUUUUAUUUUCCUUGUUUACUGAUUCUGCGAGCUCGUAGUCCAUUGUAGAUCGUAACUGUAGUUGUCGCAUCCUAUUGAGAAGAGCAUUUUGAUACGCUGUUUCCCUCCAGCGUUUGAUGUCUGUAUAUGGGAUGAGUUUUAUCCGGCAAGUAGCCGGUGUGGUUCCUAAGAACCACACCCGGCAAAGCACUGCCGAACCUCUCGCUUCAUAUUCUGUAUAGGGAAAACAAUAUUUAUUAAACACGAUGCUACGUUCAAAAAAUGCCUUCAUAAUUUUGGGUAGAAUAGAAUACGAGGGUCACUGCGCUUAGCAGUAUUCCUGUAUUGUACUCUAGAGUCGGAUUAUUCCGUUGGAGUAUCGGCAUACCUCAGAUCUGACGUACGCCGAUCUCGAAUAGAACAAUCCAAUUCUGGGUUUUCCAGAAAAAUAGACUUUCGUUAGUAUUGACACGAGACGGGUUAGAAUGUUGAGCUUGCGGGAUAUAUAUCUAAAACAUUUAGGUAGCCUAUUAUAAUUCUAAUUAUGUUAUAAUAAUUUAUAAAGCUGACGCAAUUUUUACUUUUCACAUACCCUCAAUUCUGUAAACUUGUUCCAUUGUAUUCCGUAAAUAAAGAUACUUCGUAGCUCUUGAUACUUUAUCGUAAAAAAAAAUAUGUGCAAUAUAAUGCUUCAAACGUAAAAAGGGCCUUAAUUUCGAACUUAUUCGACAAUACGUACAUUAACAACCCAAAAUUUACAAAAGCACGGUGUUUUGUUUUUAUCGCGUGGGUCUGAGAAAAUAUUGUCGUUUCUGUAAAACUAACACUCAUAAUUAAACAGAUUGUCGCCGCAAUAAAUUAAAUGCAGGAAGAAAUAAUCCGAACAAUAAUAAUGACAGAAAUUGAUAAAUAACUAACUGGACGUUCAGAGAGCUUUAUCAUAAGAUAACGACUAAGUAUUCUCUGAUCGUAAUGUGAUGCUAUCUAGCCACACUAAGUACACAACAAUUGGGAUUCGCACAGAGAGUUAUGUACUUAAUGUGUUCCCUAUUCACUUAUGGUAAUUAGCCACUGCUAGAAUGAAAUUACUUACCCCGGCUAUGGAUGUGCGAAUAGAGAUUUUACCACAGAUAUUUAUCAUAAAAAAGUAUAAAGAACACAUACGCAAAUGUACUUCAACUUGUAUUACACAAAAAAUAUAAGUAACACGAAAAGUAUUACAAAAGGAACUUAACACAAAUAAAACUUAACGAACUAAUAGUAUUAAACACUAUAAAAAACCUUUAACCGAGGGCCUGAGCUCUCCUGUAUUUUAGGGUACUUUUAACUUGUCAAUUCGCGACUCGUGUCGUUUAAGAACUGCGACGAGUUUAGGUAGCUAAUUUGGCUAGCCAGCCAAAUUAGCACCUUGACCACGCCUAUUGUUACCAGAUUGGUAAAGGGUUGACAUACGAGUAUGCUUUAUUGACGAAUAUUGGUAGUGGCUUUAAGGCAUAUACUUCCUACUCUAACAAAAUAAGAUGGUUCAGGAAUAAGUAGAAACGAAUUAGGUAAGUAGACGUUUAUUCAAAAUAAUAUUAUGAUCAAUUUGCUGUGUUGUUUUAAUCAUAAUAAUCGCAGUUCUUUAACCGAGGAAGGAACAGCCAACGAACUCGAUCUUAUGGUAUCCGACCAAUAAGAAUCUUUCUUUCUCAUCAAGCUAAUAAUGUAGGCCAUUUACAUAUUAAAUCUUCCGCGUGUAAAAAUCGUUUUUUCAAAUUUCAGAGAUGGGUGUUGAGUAGUUUUUUGUCACAUUUUAUUGUAUUUUAUUUUAUGUAAUAUUGCUCGAUAUUUCUCAGGGUUUUCCUGGUCUGUUGGGUUGAUAGGGUGGUGUUCAAUUGUCACCGUCGGUAUCCGGAUCGACCUUGGUCUCGAUGGGGAUUGAGUUGUAACGUUGUUGAGCAGGAUGGCUGACUGGGUUCACUGUGUUAAUAGGUCGUUGACCUCUCCCGAACCCUGCAUCAGGCGCCAUGGGUUGAAUUGCGUGGGUUGCGGCUGCGAGCUUUAGCGUCAUCUAACUGGUUCCAAAGUAGUGAGUCAUCGAAUAAACCAUUUGUAGUUUCAUUGAAAGUUGAUAAUCAUGUUCAAAGCUAAAUAAUGAAACAACACAGGAAUUAGCGGUUUUCAAAAUCAAUGUGACAUUUUCGAAGAUUAAAACUUCGAAAAUUCUCAUGGUACCUGAUAAGAAAUCCAGUUGUUUACAUUCGAUUACCGUAGACAGCUUCUCAAAAUGCAAUCAUUUGAACUGAUUUCAUCGUAUUAGCGGAAUCAUCGACUUGUAGUUAACUUCGAGAACCUGUAACAAUGUCAACGUUAAUGAUCAUUGUUCGAUAAAAGUUAAAUAUGAAGUAAAAUUAACUUACCGUAGAUAGCUCUCUUCGAAGUUUAUGACACGUUAUCGGCGAGUAUAGUGAACGUUAAAUUUUUGAUCUUUUGGCCGCGGUGGUUUUUUUACCGGUUGAGCUAGCCGAGGCGGCGGCGUCUGCCGUUGCGGUCGUCUCUGAGUAGUCGCAGAUCUUCAAUAUGAUAAAGUGACAUUUAUAAUGAUCGGGGUUAGGUGAGGUAGAUGAGAAAGACUAUAUGGUGGGUUUAUAUAAUAAUACUUUCUACCUGAGGUUGCGGGCGUAUAACCGAGUGUCCAACAUUCCUUCGUGUGGUUUUCCAUCUUCGAGAUAUCGCGCUAGUGCGAAUAUAUGUCCGUCCCCCAUCAGAAGAAUUAAAUGAGCGAAGAAAGCGCUGACGUAAAGGUUGUUUCCGAUUUUGAAUCCCGCAGUCGUGAAAAUUGGGUUUACCUGUAGUGCACUUCAAAAUUAACGCCUCUGGCCCGAUUUUCGAUCGACUAGUCACUCAAAAAGUACUGCAUCUCAUCGCAGCUAAGUACGGAGGGGCAGAGGGUGUGUAGCCGGCUUCGACCGAUUUCAGCUUCUAAACCUGUAACAGAAGUAACAACACGUAUUCUAUUAGUCAACAUCAUCAAAUUACUCAAAGGAACGAGUAAUUAAUUAAGAACGCCUACAUCCCGAAUGCCUCGGUGUAUCCCCCAGGGGCAAUUUCCGGCAAUUACUUACUGACAUUACAUUCCGCUUUGCAAGAUUUAUGCAACCAUUCUGGGAGAACUCUGAGUUUGUCAAAUGUCUGGAAACCAUGCUCAAAUGCUCAAUCUUUAUUUAUUUAUUUAUUUAUUUAUUUAUUUAUUUAUUUAUUUACAAUUUAGGUCUCUCCAACAGCGUAAGCCAAUUGGAAAAUGUACAACCUCCUGCGGCAGUUAUCAGCAUUAUUACAGUGACUGAUGUGUAUAAAUAACCCACUAAUUAAGUAUUUUAAUUAAUUUCAUUAUUACCUUUUGACAAGAUGAAACCGCAUUUACGCAUUUUCUUACUUGUUUGCUUAACUUUGAAUUUUUGCAGCGGAAGCAAUUGCAUUACUUACCGCAAUGAAAAUUAUGAUUUUCAACUGCAGCAGGUUAUAAUUGGAUUAAAAUUUAAUGUAUAUUUUUUUAUUGAAUUGAAAUUUUUAAUUUGAAAUAUUUAAUGAUUUACUUGACAUUGAAUUAAAAAAUUGAAUAAAUUUUAAAUUAUUAGAUAUCUAUAAUAAAAAAAAAUGGACAGUUUUUUAUAAAACUAAAUAAAAUUAUAUAAAGUCAAAUAAACUACUUAAAUGAUUGAAAAGUAAAUCAAAAACCACCCUUUCACCGCCUGUAUGAGUUGAAUUACUGACCCUUGUUCGGGAUCGUGACGUUAUGGAAAACAUUUAUCAUGCAUAAAAAAAUGGGAUACAAACCAUCUCAAUUACAUAUUUUGGAAAUUUUAGCGCCGUACACAAAAAUUAUGAACGAAGUGAAUUUGACCCCCUCUCAAGAAUCUUUGAAUUUUAAAUUCAUUCUACUUACAUACUUUAAUUUGCUUAAAAUCAACUUCAACAAGUAUGCUCUGCUCGAAAUUGGUGCUUACCUACUCGGAAAAAAAAAUUAAUAAAAAUUACUAUUUCAGUAUAGUAACCGGAUCCCAUUCAAAAAUAAUAGUGAUUUUUACUCAGCCAAAAAAUACAUUUUAGGCUACCUAUAGAAUUAGGUAAAAUUUAUUACUCUCAUAGUAAAAAUCGCAAUAUUUUUGAAUGGGAUCCAGUUACUUACUGUUUGAAAUAGUGAAAAUUAACCAUAAUUUUUUUUUCCAUGUAUGUACAUAUGUAAUAAGCACUUGCAAUCCACUUGGAAUUUCAAAAAAAUAUAUAUAAAAACUGAAUUUCCGCAGUUCACGUCAAACAGUAGAUGGGUACAGGAAGCGUGAAUUUUUCAAAUUUCUAAUCGUGAAACUACCGAUGACCAAAAAUAUGGUUCAGAACCAAUACGCAGCGGUUUUGAAAAAAUGGCGAGUAAUCGGCCAAGAAACUCCCCAACAAGCACCAUCGCGAGCUAGAGUAAAUUUGGGCAAACUUAUCGACUUUUUUGAAAUAACUGGAACUUCCAAAAUGUCGCAAGAGGCUCAAGAACAGAAUGAAACCACUUCUAGUCAGCUUAAUCAGUUUAAUUUGUUGAACUUGGAUUAAGGCCGAAAACGCCGAAUCUGCAGCUAAGAAUUCGAAUAUGAACGAAACUCUCAUCACAGAUUUAUACACUAAACUUUUCACCAUCAAAAAUGAAACUAAAAUCAGAAACAUUUUCAUUACUCGAAACUUUUAUAAAUAUGUCCCAAUUGGCCUGAGAAAUGCUAGACAGCACAUUCAUCUAACCACUUGAUCAUGCAAUUUCAGCAUUCAAGAUGCUCGUAUGGAUUCUUAUUUUUUUUUCAAUAAAAUUCAUCCAUACUUGAUAAUUUUUUACAAAGUGAUGAGUUCAAUUUUAAAAAAAUAAAGCUAGCUUAUACGCCUACUGUAUAUGACGUAGAUGCGAUUAAUAGAUACAUGCUUACAAGUACAUUUUAACUGAGUAACCUGGGCUGGAGAUGAAAAUCAUUUAGAAACGGAGAUUAAGCAACACAUUUUUCUAAAGUUUAUUCACUCGAUAAGUGUAUUAUUUUGUUAGUGAAUUUUUUACAAGGUGUCUAAUUAUUAUUUUUAAGAAUUACCUAGUUGUUUUAGAGAAUUUAAUCUGUAUUUUACGAGUCGAUAUACUCCCCCCCCAAAUAAGUUGGAUGGUUUUGGUUUACAAUAUGAGAUCAUUGAGAUCUCGUAAAAUAACCUACGAUCGGUUCUACAUCUAGUCCUAAAUUGCAUUAGUUGGUAAUGGAUUGGUUUUGAGUAAUCGAUGUGAUAGAUUUCAUAACUGUGAUUUUCACCAUCAUGUUUCUUUUCAUACCUGUGAUUUUCACCAUGUUGUUUCUAUCAUUCUGUUUUGAGUUAUUUUACCUGUAAUAACAUCAUUCGAAUUGUUCAACUGAAGUAACUCGUGUUCAAAGUUUCUUGCUUGUAUGUACUUCUUAAAAACAGCUGAUUUUAGAUAGUCAUUGAAUUUUUCAAAAUUUGCACCUUUUAAGACGUGUCGCGAAAUGAAGAAUAAUAAUCCCUCAGCUGAGAGAAUUAAAAUGAACUUCAUUUACUAUAACCAACAUCCAAUACUGUGAUUUCAUUGUUUUCGUUUUUGUUAUAGUAAAAAAAUUUCUAACUUUAAGAUCUAAUCUAAGUGUCGUGAUUUAAAAUAUAACUAAAAAUACAAAUAAAUGUAAAAAAACAAUAAUAAAAUUUGUAAACGAGUUGUCGCAGUCGGCACGACGACAAGCGAAUUUUCGUUGGAGCCCCAUAGAGAAUAGGCUGAGGAAUGUUCCCCUGCUAAUUUCAACGGGGUGUGGAUUUUUUUUCAAUUUUUUGAUGUAAAUUAAUCUGAAACACAAAAAAAAUUAGUACCCCGCAUUCAGAACAAAUCGCUCGUAUCAUUUCUGAAAAUAACGUAAAGUGAAGAAAUCUUAGUCAAUGUGAAACUAAAAGAAAAAUUCGCUCGUACAAAUAUUGGUAAAGGAUGGUAGCGCAAGAAAAAUUCACAAAACCAAACUUGAAAGAAAAAAAAUCGAUCGUAAAUUCUGCAAGCGAAAUUUACAAGUGAGCAAAAUUUCACGAAAGUCAUUCAGAAGCUUGGUUAAAUUGCCAUAAAAGCGAUUUGAAAUACACCCAAUUACAUUUAAACAAGAAAAACUUGAGAAAAUUUUGCAAACAAAAAUUAUUAUUAAUUACGAUAAAUUGAUCGAAAACUGUCUGAAGUUCCAUUUAGUGAGAGGUUCUGUCUGAUCAUAUUCGAUUUGUCGAGGUCAUCUGAUUUGAAAAUCGAAUUUUCGAUCCGUGCCACUGUCACUGCUACCGACUGAAGUGGAGAUGAAUCUAUCAAUUCCGAUGAAUUAUCAUUCUUGGCAUCGCUAUGUAGCUGUACCGAACAAAAAUAAAUAUAUUAUUUCUACAUUUAUACAAAGCAGGCACACAAACGAAUAUUCCAAGAAAUAAUCUAUAAUCCAAGAUACUUUAGUCGUAAAUGUGAGACGACUAAGUAUUGGUAGGAAAUGCGUGAUACUAGAUAGCCACGCCAAGUACACUUCAAUUGGGAUUAACACAUAGAGUCAUGUACUUGGUAUGUUCUCAGACACGAAAUAAAUUGAUAUGCGAAGCUGUCAAUGAAUCUACCCCGGCUUGAUGCGCGAAUGACUGGAACCCCCUGGCCGAACCAUGGUGCCCGGUGGUGCUCCGCGAGCACCUAGUAUUGGCUGCACCAUUCCUGUCGGCUUUUGAGAUGGAUCCGCUACGAGUACUUUAGCCAAAGUACCCGCUUUAGCCAUCUCUAUGGCCUUCAAAUCGUCCGCGUCGGUAGGCCUUUUCUCUUUUUUCGACUUAGGUUUUUGCAAUUUUACCGCCUUCGCUUUGCCAGUCGGGGUUAAUUUUGGUGGUUGCGCCGAGGAAUCUGAAAGCAUACCCGAGCUAGGAUACCCUUUAAAUUGAAUUUGUCGAUGCGCCCGGGCUCAAGUGAAAUUGUUAAUCGAAGCAUAUCGCGAGUGGGCUCGAACAAAGUUCAACUGUGUGAAUCCGACUACGGAACCUAGAAACUUGGGUAAGAUUUGUAUCUGUUAUUCACGCAUUGUUCGAUUUUUAAAUAUGACAAACCAAAAGAUUAUUGUUUGUGUAUAAUAUCCUUACCAAAGGUUACAUUUUUCAAAACAGCCAUUUUAGCCUUAUAUACUUCUAAAUAGCCUAGCGAUGCAUGCGCCAAUCUCGUAUGCCAUAGAAGACCCAAGUUCUCACGAAUAGUGAGAGAAGUUGGACUUGGACCUCCAUCAUCAGCAUUUGUCAACAUAGCUACCUGUUCCAUCCUCACUAUUGGUGGUUUGUCUUCGUCUGGUUUCGAUGAUUGGUCAGUCUGGGAGUUACCAGAUUGAUCUUUCAUCUCAGCGUCGAUGAUUGGCUCUUCGACUGACGAUUGUUCGGCGUUUGGUUCAGUCUCCGGUUGUUCGGUGUUAUCAGCGAUGAAUACAUGAGUCACCGAGCUAGGUGACUGUAGUAUUGCAUCUUCUGUUUUUUCCGACUCAACGUUAUUUUCACCGUCUUCGCUUGUCAAGUCAUAUUCUGUCGAACUUCCUUCUAGGAUGUCGUCGUCGAGAGGUUCGUUGGACCACUGAGAAACCGAUGUAGGUCUCUCCACGGUCGGACCGAGCUCUGGACGGUAAUAGUGGCUCGAUACCUCAUUGUCGGUCAGCUCAGGUACUGUCUGAGUCGUAUUUCCAGUUGGAACAGGCGCCGAGUUGAAUAGUUUUUAGGAAACAUUAACGGGUACCUGUAGACCCCUUCGGAAUCUGCGACAGGUCUUUCUGUAGGUUUAACACCAUUCCACUUCAGCGUAUCCUGGUGGAAAUCCGCAUUGUACAUGGGAACCGAAGACACAGUUGGAAAGCGUGACAGUAGUAUAAGGGCCUGUAUAACACUACAUUUUUUUUUUGGUCGGGUAUAACACACUCGUAAUUUUUCCAAGUCUCUUAUCGCAGUUGUGGUUGCGAUAAUAAUUCUCGUUAGCCACAUUAGCUGGAACUACGAUUAUUUUGUAUGCCUUGCAUUGAUUUUAUCAUAUUCUAGCCGUCCGUUCGACAGAAAAUAUAUUAACUUCCUCCUCAUCAUACAGGAGAAAACGUCGUUUUUGGACUCUUUGUACCGAAAGAGCCGAAAUGAUAAAUUUUGAGCCAAAUGGUGGUUAUUUUGCUGUAUACAAGAAAAAGGCGAUACGUUCUGAGUGUACCAGAGUUUGACAGAGGCGAAAAUCGAAAAAUGGCACGUGCGGGGUACUUUGAAUCGAAUGGUCUGCUACAAAUUUUAUGAUUUGUAAUGUGUGUAAUGGGUCAAUACAUUCAAUUAUUAUCCGUU